rnacentral:rRNA from 1 species
GUAGGACUACCCGCUGAACUUAAGCAUAUCAAUAAGCGGAGGAAAAGAAACUAACAAGGAUUCCCCUAGUAACGGCGAGUGAAGAGGGAAGAGCCCAAGAUUGAAAGCUGGCGCCUUCGGCGUCCGCAUUGUAAUCUCAAGAAGUGUUUUCCGCUUCGGACCAUGCCUAAGUCCCUUGGAAAAGGGCAUCAUAGAGGGUGAUAAUCCCGUACAUGGCAUGGAGCGCCCGAAGCUUUGUGAUACGCUUUCUAAGAGUCGAGUUGUUUGGGAAUGCAGCUCAAAAUGGGUGGUAAAUGCCAUCUAAGGCUAAAUAUUGGGGAGAGACCGAUAGCGAACAAGUACAGUGAUGGAAAGAUGAAAAGAACUUUGAAAAGAGAGUUAAACAGUACGUGAAAUUGCCAAAAGGGAAGGGUAGGAGGUCAGAGAUGCGUCGCAGGAUUCAGCCUUGCUUUUGCUUGGUGUUUUUCCUGCGUUGCAGGCCAACGUCGGUUUUGGGCACUGGAGAAGGGUAGGAGGAACGUGGCACCUCUCGGGGUGUGUUAUAGCCUCCUACUGGAUACAGCGACCGAGACCGAGGAACGCAGCGUACUCGUAAGAGCGGGCCUUUUGGCACC